UACGGGGGGGGCAAGCGUUGUUCGGAAUUACUGGGCGUAAAGGGCGCGUAGGCGGUUCAUUAAGUUGGAUGUGAAAACUCUGGGCUUAACUCAGAGCCUGCAUUCAAAACUGAUGGGCUGGAGUUCUGGAGGGGAUAGCGGAAUUCCUGGUGUAGCGGUGAAAUGCGUAGAUAUCAGGAGGAACACCGGUGGCGAAGGCGGCUAUCUGGACAGAAACUGACGCUGAGGCGCGAAAGCUAGGGGAGCAAACAGGAUUAGAUACCCUGGUAGUCCUAGCCCUAAACGAUGGAUACUUGGUGUGACUGGGAUUGAAUCCAGUCGUGCCGAAGCUAACGCAUUAAGUAUCCCGCCUGGGGAGUACGGUCGCAAGGCUGAA
rnacentral:rRNA from 1 species